UACGAAGGGGGCUAGCGUUGCUCGGAAUCACUGGGCGUAAAGCGCACGUAGGCGGCUUUUAAGUCAGGGGUGAAAUCCUGGAGCUCAACUCCAGAACUGCCUUUGAUACUGAGAAGCUUGAGUCCGGGAGAGGUGAGUGGAACUGCGAGUGUAGAGGUGAAAUUCGUAGAUAUUCGCAAGAACACCAGUGGCGAAGGCGGCUCACUGGCCCGGUACUGACGCUGAGGUGCGAAAGCGUGGGGAGCAACAGG
rnacentral:rRNA from 1 species